rnacentral:rRNA from 1 species
CAAUAGCGUGUAUUAAAGUUGUUGCAGUUAAAAAGCUCGUAGUUGGAUUUCUGGUGGGAGCGAUCGGUCUGGCGCUUAGCGCGAGUACUUGCAUCGUCUCCGGCCAUCCUUGGGGAGAGUCUGUCUGGCAUUAGGUUGUCGGGCAGAGGAUCCUCAUCGUUUACUGUGAAGAAAUUAGAGUGUUCAAAGCAGGCUUAUGCCGUUGAAUAUAUUAGCAUGGAAUAAUAAGAUAGGACUUUGGUACUAUUUUGUUGGUUUGCGCACCAAAGUAAUGAUUAAUAGGGACAGUUGGGGGCAUUCGUAUUCCGUUGUCAGAGGUGAAAUUCUUGGAUUUACGGAAGACGAACUACUGCGAAAGCAUUUACCAAGGAUGUUUUCAUUAA